rnacentral:rRNA from 1 species
GACGAACGCUGGCGGCGUGCUUAACACAUGCAAGUCGAACGGAAAGGCCCUUCUUUUGUUGGGUGCUCGAGUGGCGAACGAGUGAGUAACACGUGAUUAACCUUCCCUUUACUUUGGGAUAACUUCAGGAAACUGGGGCUAAUACCGGAUAGGAGCUCCUGCUGCAUGGUGGGGGUUGGAAAGUUUCGGCGGUUGGGGAUGGACUCGCGGCUUAUCAGCUUGUUGGUGGGGUAGUGGCUUACCAAGGCUUUGACGGGUAGCCGGCCUGAGAGGGUGACCGGCCACAUUGGGACUGAGAGACGGCCCAGAGUGCUACGGGAGGCAGCAGUGGGGAAUAUUGCAAAAUGGGCGGAAGCCUGAUGCAGCAACGCCGCGUGCGGGAUGACGGCCUUAGGGUUGUAAACCGCUUUCGCCUGUGACGAAGCGUGAGUGACGGUAAUGGGUAAAGAAGCACCGGCUAACUACGUG